rfam:Rattus norvegicus chromosome 6, whole genome shotgun sequence.
AUAUAGGCUUUAUUGAAAGCCACCUUAAGCAGAAAUUUACUGGAAG